rnacentral:rRNA from 1 species
AAUCAACGCUGGCGGCGUGCCUCAGACAUGCAAGUCGAACGAUUAAGACUUCCUUCGGGAAGUGUAUAAAGUGGCGCACGGGUGAGUAACACGUAAGUAAUCUACCCUCGAGUGGGGAAUAACGUUCGGAAACGAACGCUAAUACCGCAUAAUGCAGCGGCAUCGCAAGAUGACAGUUGUUAAAGGAGUAAUUCGCUUGAGGAGGAGCUUGCGGCAGAUUAGCUAGUUGGUAAGGUAACGGCUUACCAAGGCUACGAUCUGUAUCCGGUCUAAGAGGACGGUCGGACACACUGACACUGAAUAACGGGUCAGACUCCUACGGGAGGCAGCAGUCGGGAAUUUUGUGCAAUGGGCGAAAGCCUGACCCAGCAACGCCGCGUGAAGGAUGAAGUAUUUCGGUAUGUAAACUUCGAAAGAAUGGGAAGAAUAAAUGACGGUACCAUUUAUAAGCUCCGGCUAACUACGUGCCAGCCGCCGCUGUAAAAC